AGCGUACACGGUGGAUGCCCUGGCAGUCAGAGGCGAUGAAGGACGUGCUAAUCUGCGAUAAGCGUCGGUAAGGUGAUAUGAACCGUUAUAACCGGCGAUUUCCGAAUGGGGAAACCCAGUGUGAUUCGACACACUAUCAUUAACUGAAUCCAUAGGUUAAUGAGGCGAACCGGGGGAACUGAAACAUCUAAGUACCCCGAGGAAAAGAAAUCAACCGAGAUUCCCCCAGUAGCGGCGAGCGAACGGGGAGGAGCCCAGAGCCUGAAUCAGUGUGUGUGUUAGUGGAAGCGUCUGGAAAGGCGCGCGAUACAGGGUGACAGCCCCGUACACAAAAAUGCACAUGCUGUGAGCUCGAUGAGUAGGGCGGGACACGUGUUAUCCUGUCUGAAUAUGGGGGGACCAUCCUCCAAGGCUAAAUACUCCUGACUGACCGAUAGUGAACCAGUACCGUGAGGGAAAGGCGAAAAGAACCCCGGCGAGGGGAGUGAAAAAGAACCUGAAACCGUGUACGUACAAGCAGUGGGAGCACGCUUAGGCGUGUGACUGCGUACCUUUUGUAUAAUGGGUCAGCGACUUAUAUUCUGUAGCAAGGUUAACCGAAUAGGGGAGCCGAAGGGAAACCGAGUCUUAACUGGGCGUUAAGUUGCAGGGUAUAGACCCGAAACCCGGUGAUCUAGCCAUGGGCAGGUUGAAGGUUGGGUAACACUAACUGGAGGACCGAACCGACUAAUGUUGAAAAAUUAGCGGAUGACUUGUGGCUGGGGGUGAAAGGCCAAUCAAACCGGGAGAUAGCUGGUUCUCCCCGAAAGCUAUUUAGGUAGCGCCUCGUGAAUUCAUCUCCGGGGGUAGAGCACUGUUUCGGCAAGGGGGUCAUCCCGACUUACCAACCCGAUGCAAACUGCGAAUACCGGAGAAUGUUAUCACGGGAGACACACGGCGGGUGCUAACGUCCGUCGUGAAGAGGGAAACAACCCAGACCGCCAGCUAAGGUCCCAAAGUCAUGGUUAAGUGGGAAACGAUGUGGGAAGGCCCAGACAGCCAGGAUGUUGGCUUAGAAGCAGCCAUCAUUUAAAGAAAGCGUAAUAGCUCACUGGUCGAGUCGGCCUGCGCGGAAGAUGUAACGGGGCUAAACCAUGCACCGAAGCUGCGGCAGCGACGCUUAUGCGUUGUUGGGUAGGGGAGCGUUCUGUAAGCCUGCGAAGGUGUGCUGUGAGGCAUGCUGGAGGUAUCAGAAGUGCGAAUGCUGACAUAAGUAACGAUAAAGCGGGUGAAAAGCCCGCUCGCCGGAAGACCAAGGGUUCCUGUCCAACGUUAAUCGGGGCAGGGUGAGUCGACCCCUAAGGCGAGGCCGAAAGGCGUAGUCGAUGGGAAACAGGUUAAUAUUCCUGUACUUGGUGUUACUGCGAAGGGGGACGGAGAAGGCUAUGUUGGCCGGGCGACGGUUGUCCCGGUUUAAGCGUGUAGGCUGGUUUUCCAGGCAAAUCCGGAAAAUCAAGGCUGAGGCGUGAUGACGAGGCACUACGGUGCUGAAGCAACAAAUGCCAUGCUUCCAGGAAAAGCCUCUAAGCAUCAGGUAACAUCAAAUCGUACCCCAAACCGACACAGGUGGUCAGGUAGAGAAUACCAAGGCGCUUGAGAGAACUCGGGUGAAGGAACUAGGCAAAAUGGUGCCGUAACUUCGGGAGAAGGCACGCUGAUAUGUAGGUGAAGCGACUUGCUCGUGGAGCUGAAAUCAGUCGAAGAUACCAGCUGGCUGCAACUGUUUAUUAAAAACACAGCACUGUGCAAACACGAAAGUGGACGUAUACGGUGUGACGCCUGCCCGGUGCCGGAAGGUUAAUUGAUGGGGUCAGCGCAAGCGAAGCUCUUGAUCGAAGCCCCGGUAAACGGCGGCCGUAACUAUAACGGUCCUAAGGUAGCGAAAUUCCUUGUCGGGUAAGUUCCGACCUGCACGAAUGGCGUAAUGAUGGCCAGGCUGUCUCCACCCGAGACUCAGUGAAAUUGAACUCGCUGUGAAGAUGCAGUGUACCCGCGGCAAGACGGAAAGACCCCGUGAACCUUUACUAUAGCUUGACACUGAACAUUGAGCCUUGAUGUGUAGGAUAGGUGGGAGGCUUUGAAGUGUGGACGCCAGUCUGCAUGGAGCCGACCUUGAAAUACCACCCUUUAAUGUUUGAUGUUCUAACGUUGACCCGUAAUCCGGGUUGCGGACAGUGUCUGGUGGGUAGUUUGACUGGGGCGGUCUCCUCCUAAAGAGUAACGGAGGAGCACGAAGGUUGGCUAAUCCUGGUCGGACAUCAGGAGGUUAGUGCAAUGGCAUAAGCCAGCUUGACUGCGAGCGUGACGGCGCGAGCAGGUGCGAAAGCAGGUCAUAGUGAUCCGGUGGUUCUGAAUGGAAGGGCCAUCGCUCAACGGAUAAAAGGUACUCCGGGGAUAACAGGCUGAUACCGCCCAAGAGUUCAUAUCGACGGCGGUGUUUGGCACCUCGAUGUCGGCUCAUCACAUCCUGGGGCUGAAGUAGGUCCCAAGGGUAUGGCUGUUCGCCAUUUAAAGUGGUACGCGAGCUGGGUUUAGAACGUCGUGAGACAGUUCGGUCCCUAUCUGCCGUGGGCGCUGGAGAACUGAGGGGGGCUGCUCCUAGUACGAGAGGACCGGAGUGGACGCAUCACUGGUGUUCGGGUUGUCAUGCCAAUGGCACUGCCCGGUAGCUAAAUGCGGAAGAGAUAAGUGCUGAAAGCAUCUAAGCACGAAACUUGCCCCGAGAUGAGUUCUCCCUGACUCCUUGA
rnacentral:rRNA from 1 species